rnacentral:rRNA from 1 species
GACGAACGCUGGCGGCGUGCUUAACACAUGCAAGUCGAACGGAAAGGCCCUGCUUUUGUGGGGUGCUCGAGUGGCGAACGGGUGAGUAACACGUGAUUAACCUGCCCUGGACUUUGGGAUAACUUCAGGAAACUGGGGCUAAUACCGGAUAGGAGCUCCUGCUGCAUGGGGGGGGUUGGAAAGUUUCGGCGGUUGGGGAGGGACUCGCGGCUUAUCAGUCUGUAGGUGGGGUAGUGGCUUACCAAGGAUUUGACGGGUAGCCGGCCGGAGUGGGUGACCGGCCACAUUGGGAAUGGGAUACGGCCCAGACUCCUACGGGCGGCAGAAGUGGGGAAUAUUGCACAAUGGGCGGAAGCCUGAUGCAGCAACGCCGCGUGCGGGAUGCCGGCCUUCGGGUUGUAAACCGCCUGCGCCUGUGACGAAGCGUGAGUGACGGUAAUGGGUAAAGAAGCACCGGCUAACUACGUG